CCAGUGAGGCGCAAGAAGUUGACGACGGUAUAGAAGAUGAUAAAGGAAAAGUUAUUUGCUGGCUUUGCGGCUGCGUAAGGUGGGAGGUUAUUGACUGUGCCAGGCCUGCAGCUGUGGUCGCCGACAGAACGGCUGCUGGAAAUCUGCAACAUCGUCUAAAGCUUGCCUGACCAGAGCUCGACAUCGCACUCCAGGGAAAGAGCAGUGACGCGUGGCUGACUCGAAAAAUUCUACUCCGUGCCAGACUGCUCUUCGGAUGCAUAAUUCCGCCACCCGUUCAUCACGAGCUUCACUCAGACGAUGGACAAGGCAAGGACACGACCAGUCUGGAACAGUGGACAUGACGGCACCGCCCACAGUGACUGCCAUCUGCUUGAAUUUAUCAAGUCAUUGGAGUGCACUCGCUUGCCCCUAAAUUCUGCCUGAUGCUUGUAUUUACUUUAGAUUUGCAUCCUGGAGUUCUGGCAGCAAGGUGUUCGAUACAAUUGGGCACCGUU
rnacentral:lncRNA from 1 species